GUAAGGAAUAUUGGACAAUGGGGGAAACCCUGAUCCAGCCAUGCCGCGUGAGUGAAGAAGGCCUACGGGUUGUAAAGCUCUUUCAGAUGUGAAGAUGAUGACGGUAACAUCAGAAGAAGCUCCGGCUAACUUCGUGCCAGCAGCCGCGGUAAUACGAAGGGAGCGAGCGUUGUUCGGAAUCACUGGGCGUAAAGAGUGCGUAGGCGGUUAUACAAGUCAGGAGUGAAAUCCCAGGGCUCAACCCUGGAAUUGCUUUUGAAACUGUAUAGCUAGAGUCCCGGAGGGGUUAAUGGAAUUCCGAGUGUAGAGGUGAAAUUCGCAGAUAUUCGGAGGAACACCAGUGGCGAAGGCGAUUAACUGGACGGGCACUGACGCUGAGGCACGAAAGCGUGGGGAUCAAACAGGAUUAGAAACCCUUGUAGUCC
rnacentral:rRNA from 1 species